UGGGGAAUAUUGGACAAUGGGCGAAAGCCUGAUCCAGCCAUGCCGCGUGUGUGAAGAAGGCCUUAUGGUUGUAAAGCACUUUAAGUGGGGAGGAAAAGCUUAUGGAUAACACCCAUAGGUUCUGACGUUACCCACAGAAUAAGCACCGGCUAACUCUGUGCCAGCAGCCGCGGUAAUACAGAGGGUGCAAGCGUUAAUCGGAAUUACUGGGCGUAAAGCGAGCGUAGGUGGUUUAUUAAGUCAGAUGUGAAAUCCCUGGGCUUAACCUAGGAACUGCAUCUGAUACUGAUAAACUAGAGUAGGUGAGAGGAAAGUAGAAUUCCAGGUGUAGCGGUGAAAUGCGUAGAGAUCUGGAGGAAUACCGAUGGCGAAGGCAGCUUUCUGGCAUCAUACUGACACUGAGGUUCGAAGGCGUGGGUAGCAAACAGGAUUAGAUACCCUGGUAGUCCACGCCGUAAACGAUGUCUACCAGUCGUUGGGUCUUUUAAAGGCUUAGUGACGCAGUUAACGCGAUAAGUAGACCGCCUGGGGAGUACGGCCGCAAGGUUA
rnacentral:rRNA from 1 species